rnacentral:rRNA from 1 species
GAUGAACGCUGGCGGCGUGCCUAAUACAUGCAAGUCGAGCGGACGGACGAGACGCUUGCUUCUCUGAUGUUAGCGGCGGACGGGUGAGUAACACGUGGAUAACCUACCUAUAAGACUGGGAUAACCUCGGGAAACCGGAGCUAAUACCGGAUGAUAUUUUGAACCGCAUGGUUCAAAAGUGAAAGCCGGUCUUGCUGUCACUUAUAGAUGGAUCCGCGCUGCAUUAGCUAGUUGGUACGGUAACGGCUUACCAAGGCAACGAUGCGUAGCCGAUCUGAGAGGAUGAUCAGUCACACUGGAACUGAGACACGGUCCAGACUCCUACGGGAGGCAGCAGUGGGGAAUAUUGGGCAAUGGGCGAAAGCCUGAUCCAGCAAUGCCGCGUGUGUGAAGAAGGUCUUCGGAUUGUAAAACACUGUUAUUUGGGAGGAACAGAAGUGAGAGAAAAUCUUGCUGUUUUGACGGUACCAAAAGAAAAAGCAACGGCUAACUUCGUG